GCGCUGCGUGGGAGAAAGCUCAAUCUCUGCAAAUAUGUUGAAUAGAGGAGGAGACGCUGGAAAUACCAUCGUGGGAGGACAAACCCCUACAUGGGAUGUACCACCGACAGAUAACUGAAGUGGCUGAUAUCAAGAAAUCCUUCCAAUGGCUAGAAAAAGCUGGUCUGAAGGUCAGCACAGAGGCACUCAUCAUGGCUGCACAGGAACAGGCCCUAAUGUGGUUGAGAACAAGAGAGCCAGACUCCUGUGGGACUUCCAGAUCCAGACUGACAAAAUGGUUAUGGAGAACCAAUCGGACAUUGUGGUGGUGGAAAAACAACAGAGGACAGCCGUUGUGGUUGAUGUGGCAAUACCAAGUGAUGCAACAUCAGAAAACAGGAACAAGAGAAACCAGAGAAGUAUCAGGGCCUCAAAGAAGAACUUGAGAAUGCCUGGAGACUGAAGACAUCCGUGGUGCCCGUGGUCAUCGGGGCACUUGGGGCAGUAAUCCCCAGACUGGAGGAGUGGCUAAAGCAGAUCCCAGAAAAACAUCAGACAUCUCAGUCCAGAAAAGUGCAGUUCUAGGAACAGCUAAGAUACUGCAGGACCCUCAAGCUCCCAGACCUCUGGUAGAGGACCCAUCUUGGAAGGAUGAGACCAACCGCAGAUGAUCACGGAUCGAGGCGGUCCUGCAUGUGUUUAAAGAACAGGAACCCUGCAACCUUGAAGUACAGUGUUCUGGUUCAAAAACAGCUUACCAUGCAGGGUGAGAAAGUACGAAGUAGGAAACAGUGGCUGUGGUGAGAGACGGGAACAUGGUGGGAUCCGACUUUCUACAUGGAUUUAGGAACAUCUAAAGGACGGGAACUUUUCUAAAAAGUACAGCUUUGUAAUUUUUAAGUGAUAGAGAAGCACAGCAGUGCUAUGAAAUGUUAGAAAUGCUAUGAUGCCUACCUGUUGUACAGCAGAAUGUCAGGUUUCCAGAUGAG